UACGUAGGGAGCAAGCGUUGUUCGGAUUUACUGGGCGUAAAGGGCGCGUAGGCGGCGCUGUAAGUCACUUGUGAAAUCUCUGGGCUUAACUCGGAACGGUCAAGUGAUACUGCAGUGCUAGAGUGCGGAAGGGGCAAUCGGAAUUCUUGGUGUAGCGGUGAAAUGCGUAGAUAUCAAGAGGAACACCUGAGGUGAAGACGGGUUGCUGGGCCGACACUGACGCUGACAGCGCGAAAGCCAGGGGAGCAAACGGG
rnacentral:rRNA from 1 species